CACAACCUGUUAGGAAGACUGAGGUUCAAUCCGAUGCCACGUACAGUUACCGAGGACCCCGCUGGCAUCUAGCUCUAUGCAACACGCUAGGGAACGGAGGGACGCACCACCCGCAGCCUCACCUUCCAAGAGCUUACUAAGCAAAAGGAGAGACGCUGCGCCCACCAGCCAACUUGAACCUCCUGUUCGCCAUGCUGCCCAGGCUGGUCUCGAACUCCUGAGCUCAAGCAAUCUACCCGCCUCAGCCUCCCAAAGUGCUGGGAUUAUAGAUGUGAGCCACCGCGCCUGGCCUGAGUGAGACUUUCCUUUUUUUUUUUUUUUUUGAGACGGAGUCUCGCUCUGUCACCCAGGCUGGAGUGUAGUGGAGUGAUCUCGGCUCACUGCAACCUCUGCCUCCCGAGUUCAAGCGGUUCUCCUGCCUUAGGCUCCUGAGUCCCGAGUACCUGGGAUUACAGGUGUGCGCCACCAUGCCCAGCUAAUUUUUGAAUUUUUAGUAGAGAUGGACUUUCACUAUGUUGGCCAGGCUGGUCUCGAACUCCUGACCUCAGGUGAUCCGCCCACCUCGGCCUCCCAAAGUGCUGGGAUUACAGGCAUGAGCCACCAUACCUGGCCUGGGUGAGACUUUCUGAGCAGAGCUAUGGACUUGUCCUCAUGCCCUCCCCUGGCUUAUCUCUGAGGGAAGGAGGGAUGGCUCUCGUCCUCUUACUGGACAUGUCACCUUGGGCAAGUUAUUCAAGCUCUGAUCUCAGUUUGCUCAUCUGUAAAACGAGUUAACAAAAGUGUCUACCCUUCAGGGCUGCCAUGAAUGACAGGAUGUUCAGAAAGCUGACAGCACAGAGCCUGGUGCAUGGCAAACGGGGCCACUGCUAUACUACAAUACCAUCACUUCCACUUCCAUCAUCACUGGGCUCCUCCUUGUCCACAAAACCAUGUGUGCCCUGUGCCAGCCUGGCUGCCAAGUGACAAAGCAGAGGAGGCACAUACAUGAGGCACUUGGCAAAGAGGGCAUUUUCACCCUUGCUGCUCUGCAAUAUUUGGCAAAUGCUCUGCUUCAAGGAAAGUACCCGGAGGCCUGCCUACAACAUCUGAUCUCCCAAGCAUGCCUGCUGAGACUUUAUUUUUCCCCCGAGAUGGAGUUUUGCUCUUGUUGCCCAGGCUGGAGUGCAAUGGCGCGAUCUCAGCUCACUGCAAACUCCUCCUCCUGGGUUCAAGCGAUUCUCCCGCCUCAGCCUCCCGAGUAGCUGGAAUUAUAGGCGUGUGCCACCACGUCUGGCUAAUUUUUGUAUUUUUAGUAGAGACGGGGUUUCACCAUGUUGGUCAGCCUGGUCUCAAACUCCCAGCCUCAAGUGAUCCACCCACCUUGGCCUCCCAAAGUGCUGGGAUUACAGGUGUGAGCCACCGCACCCAGUGCUUCCUGAGACUCUUAAAUCCUGCUGCAGUGAUGGGGAGCAGGAUGAUAUCCUUACUGAACCCAGCUGUCUCCCCUGGUCCCCAGCUUCUGUGCUCCCUGGAUAAUACUCCACCCAUAUUGCAGGUACCGUGAGGAUCUGGCUCAUUAGACUGCAGUGGUUUCCUAUUAUUAUAUAUGUUUUGAGAUGGAAUCUCACUCUGUUGCCAGUCUGGAAUGCAGUGGCAUGAUCUUGGCUCACUGCAAUCUCCGCCCCCAGGGUUCAAGUGAUUCUCCUGCCUCAGCCUCCUGAGUAGUUGGGAUUACAGGUGCCCACAACCAUACCCAGCUAAUUUUUUGUAUUUUUCGUAGAGAUGGGGUUUCGCCAUGUUGGCCAGGCUGGUCUCGAUCUUCUGACCUCAGGUGAUCCACCCGCUUCGGCCUCCCAAAGUGGUGGGAUUACAGGCGUGAGCCACCAUGCCCGGCCUUCCGAGAGGCAGGUCUUGCUCUGUAGCUCAGGCUGUAGUGCAGUGGUGCAACUAUAGCUCACUGAUCACUCCAACUCCUGGGCUCAAGCGAUCCUCCCGCCUCAGCCUCCUGAGUAGCUGGGACUACAGGCGCUCUACCACAUCCUUCAGUGGCUUCUUAAUGAGGACCCUUGAAGCACUGCCUUCUUGUUCUUAGCAUCAGAAAUCAGGGGCUUUGGCAGGACAACUGAAAUGGUAUAGCGGCUGCAGCAAAGCCUGGAGUCCAACUUACGUCCACGUCUCACAAGGUACAUCUUCAUAACAUGUGCCACUCCUGGCUCUUUUAUUUUCCUGCCACUCACUUUUUCUUAUUUUUAACAGAUAUUCCUUGCAACGUUGCUUGCAUAUUUGUUAAGUGGCCACUAAAUCCCUUCUGGAACUAGGCAGGGAGAAAAUCAGUCGAUUGACCGAUACAAGACAGAAUGAAGUGAUAAUCGCUACCUUUCACUGAGUGCUUUCUAUGUGCCAGGGACAAUCCUAGACAUUUUUUAUUUUUUUAGAUGGAGUUUUGCUCAUGUCACCCAGGCUGGAGUGCAAUGGCAUGAUUUCGGCUCGCUGCAACCUCUGCCUCCCGGGUUCAAGUGAUUUUCCUGCCUCAGCCUCCUAAGUAGCUGGGAUUACAGACUGAAUGCAUCCAGCUCCCAGAUGAAGAAAUGAAACAUUCCCAAGUCCUCGGAACCCCUGCUUGCUUCCUCCAGCCUCCGCUGGCCCCGAGGGUCACUGCUACCCUGACUGACACCAUGGAUUUGCUGGAUCUGUUUGUGCUUCAGGUUCAAGGACUCCUACAGCCAAGGCUUGUUUGGGGGCUCAGAGCUGAUUUGCAGCCCAUCUUGAUGUGCCUCAUGGCUACUGAUCUCAUCCCUGCAUUCUUCUCCUCCUGCUUCCACCAGCUUUAUUAAGGCUCACUGUUCUGAGGUCAUUCUGAGGAUUUCUUCUGGGCUUGCAUAGCUGGGACUUCCUGUACCACCAGUUCAAUUCUGCCUAGAGCUGAGGACCAUGCCAGAUAAGCAAGUCCCACAACCAGCCACUGCUCAGGACAGGAUGCUGAAAGUGAUGCUGGGCGGCCAGCCAGACUCUGGAUCCCUAGGGCUCUGCCAGAGGUAGUGGAGGUCAAGUUUCCCCAAGGCCUCCAGCAUCUCCGGACAUCUCCCUUACACACUCCUCAAGAAGUCUCCCUGGCUGCUCCAGCUGUCUGACCUCUGUUGGCCCGUCUCCUCCAGGGUUCUCUCUUUGCCUGCUGCAGGUCUGCCUCAUCUGAGACCCUUCUCACCGGCCGGGAAUGACCCCGUACCUACUCUCUGGCCUCCUCUGGGGGCCUUGCUCUUGGCGCUGGAUCCCUGUGCUCUGUCCCCUGACCUUGGAGGAAUUGCCCUCCUGCGUGUAUGGAAUGACCACAGGCCUCCCUCUCACUCUUGCUGCCCUCCGCUCCUCACACCUGCCCUGUGGCCUCAAGUUCAGGAUUCAGUUUGUUGCCCAGGACAGAGUCUGGUUUUUCUCCAGAAAUUAGAUGCAGAAUCAGGCCUAACCAGCUUCUCAAACUCACAGACUUGGUCAGCAAACAUUCCCAAGCCUCAAAGGCUGAGACCCCUGGAGGAACGAUGCCAGCAGAGACAAAACGACAUUGAGAGGUAAGUCAAUUAAAAUGUUAAAAAACAUCAGAUUAGGCUGAGCGCAGUGGCUCGUGUGUGUAAUUCCAGCACUUUG